AAUGUUAGAUUAGUAUUUUUGUUUAGCAAAAAAGGGCGCAACAAGCGCCCAAAUUGCAGUAUAGUAUUAUUUUAUUAUAAAAGUUUCUUGUUAAUGACCUCUGUGAAGUGUGAAACGGUGCGAAUGUAUGCUAAUGACUCUUGUAAACUGCACUAAUGAUUUAAUUAUCUAUUUGAGAAUGUUUAAACAACGCAUUGCUUUUCUAGUGGGCAGAUUGCCGGUUUUUUGCCUCUAGGAGUCAAAGGAGGCACCUGCCAAUUCAAUUGUUUCAACACAGUUUCCUUGAUUGGUGUAAAUAAAAGAGCGAAACAUAAAUUAUCGACAUAACGAUUAGAUUAAUCGGGAAUAGAUUCUUGGUAACAGAUCGUUUGUUUCUUUGUAUAUUUCGAGUCAGUCUAAAGUGAAAGUAAAUUUUUCCGAGGUGUGGUAGAAUUAAAAUAAGAUCGUUGGGACCAUGUGGGCAGUGGUGGGUGCCCCGUUAGGAGGCUAUGCGUUAUAAUAGUGUAAUUGCAAAAAAUAGGGCGGAUUGUUUGCUGUGGGGUCACGUUCGACGUCAUGCUUCCCGACGAUUUCCUCGCAAAAAAACCUACCCGACUGGCCGCCUACACCACCAGGAAAAUGAGCACGAACGAGAUUUUUACAAUCAUUAAAAAAUAAUAACAAUGCCCAAAUAUUCAUUUUUAUGUCAUUUCCUGCAAGCUUAUUUCUAAUAAAACACAAAAGAAAUCGUC